rnacentral:rRNA from 1 species
GUGCCAGCCGCCGCGGUAAUACCGGCAGCCCAAGUGAUGGCCGAUCUUAUUGGGCCUAAAGCGUCCGUAGCUGGCCGCGCAAGUCCAUCGGAAAAUCCACCCGCCCAACGGGUGGGCGUCCGACGGAAACUGCACAGCUUGGGACCGGAAGGCGCGACGGGUACGUCCGGGGUAGGAGUGAAAUCCCGUAAUCCUGGACGGACCGCCGAUGGCGAAAGCACGUCGCGAGGACGGAUCCGACAGUGAGGGACGAAAGCCAGGGUCUCGAACCGGAUUAGAAACCCUAGUAGCC